AAAUAUACAAAAAUGAAUCUAAUAAACACAAUGUUCACAAUCAACAAUUUUCACAAAAUAAUAGUACAAUUAGUGUAAACAAUGUUCUCCAUACAUUGAAAAAUAUGUCUAUCUUAUGAAACAACAAAAAAUGAUCUAAAAAUGCCAUAAAAUUACAUUUUGAAUAACAAAAUUAUAACCCAAAAAGCGUUCCAUACACAUACUGUUUUAAGAAAAAACGUACGCCAAAAUAUAUGGCUCUAAUGGCGUUCCAUACAAAAAAUAUUUUGACAAACUGACGGAGUAAAAUCAAAAAUCGCAAAUUAAGAAGCUUAAAUUGACUAGGAAUUGUGUAUAAUAAAUGUGGGAAUAAAAAUAUUCAUCAAAUAAACAUCGGAAUGCUUAAUUUAACAUGUAAAAUACGAAAUAAGUGUGACGUGAGAUAUGACUCCUGAGAAUCGUUUGAAAUCACAAUUUAAAUCCAAAGGACUGACCUUAGACUUUAAAUACGUAUAUCGGACAUUCAAAUAAAGGUUAUACACUACAGUUUAACAGAAAACUCACCCUGUGGAGGGUUGAAUACCAUAAAAAAAAGUUUGUUUGGCUUUGCCGCUGUUGCCGAUUGGCAGACAUCAUAAUCAAAUUCAACAUAAUGACGGAACAGAUCCGUAAAAUUCCGAAGUGUGACAUUACACCGA
rnacentral:lncRNA from 1 species